rnacentral:RNase_P_RNA from 1 species
GGAUCCGGUUGGGCAGUUGCUAUUCAAUGGAUUAUUCCGUGAAUAGAGGAAAGUCCGAACUCCGCAGAACAAGGUGCCGGGUAACACCCGGGUGCCGAUGGUUAAAGCUAUCGGUAACGGAAAGUGCAACAGAAAAAAUACCGUCCCGAUUCAAUCGGGAUAAGGGUGAAAUGGCAGGUUAAGAGCCUACCGCCCUGGUAGUAAUACCAGGGGUCUCUUUAAAGAGAGUCCCGAAGAAUUUCGGGAUCAUUGCAAACCCCGCCUGGAGCAAGGUCAAGUAAGAAGGGUAUCCGAUACGUCGGAUCAAGGUUGUUCGCUUUGUGUCCCUUCGGGUAGACCGCUGGAGUCCUGAAGUAAUUUAGGAUCGAGACAAAUAAUUGCCAUUCUCUUUUUAGAGAAUACAGAAUUCGGCUUAUAAACCGGGUCCGUUA